UACGGAGGAUGCGAGCGUUAUCCGGAUUUAUUGGGUUUAAAGGGUGCGUAGGCGGGCUGUUAAGUCAGCGGUCAAAUGUCGGGGCUCAACCCCGGCCUGCCGUUGAAACUGGCGGCCUCGAGUGGGCGAGAAGUAUGCGGAAUGCGUGGUGUAGCGGUGAAAUGCAUAGAUAUCACGCAGAACUCCGAUUGCGAAGGCAGCAUACCGGCGCCCUACUGACGCUGAGGCACGAAAGCGUGGGUAUCGAACAGG
rnacentral:ncRNA from 2 species